rnacentral:rRNA from 1 species
UACGUACGAGGCGAGCGUUAUCCGGAAUUAUUGGGCGUAAAGAGCUUGUAGGCGGUUUGUCGCGUCUGCUGUGAAAAUCCGGGGCUCAACCCCGGACUUGCAGUGGGUACGGCAGACUAGAGUGUGGUAGGGGAGACUGGAAUUCCUGGUGUAGCGGUGAAAUGCGCAGAUAUCAGGAGGAACACCGAUGGCGAAGGCAGGUCUCUGGGCCACUACUGACGCUGAGAAGCGAAAGCAUGGGAGCGAACAGG